rnacentral:rRNA from 1 species
UACAGAGGUCCCAAGCGUUGUUCGGAUUCACUGGGCGUAAAGGGUGCGUAGGUGGUCGGGUAAGUCUGAUGUGAAAUCUCACGGCUCAACCGUGAAACUGCAUUGGAUACUAUUCGGCUGGAGGGUUGGAGGGGGGGACUGGAAUACUUGGUGUAGCAGUGAAAUGCGUAGAUAUCAAGUGGAACACCAGUGGCGAAGGCGAGUCCCCUGGACAACUCCUGACACUGAGGCACGAAAGCUAGGGGGAGCAAACAGG